rnacentral:misc_RNA from 1 species
GAUGAAAACGCAGCGAAAUGCGAUAAGUAAUGUGAAUUGCAGAAUUCAGUGAAUCAUCGAAUCUUUGAACGCACCUUGCACUCCUUGGUAUUCCGAGGAGUACGCCUGUUCGAGUGUUAUGAAGCUCUCAAAACGCAAUUGGCUUAAAACCUGAUUGUUGUUUUGGAUUUGAACUUUGCCGUGUUAUAACGGCUGGUUUUAAAAGUAUUAGCUGGUACUAGAACGAAUUGGUUCUACUCAACGUGAUAAUUAUCUGAUCGUUGAGGACAUUCCUUUCACGAGGAAUGGCCAUAGUAAAUUCAAUGGACUGCUUCUAAUCUGGCUUUAAUUCUUUAUUGGAUUAACCACUUUUCAAAUCUGACCUCGAAUCAGGUGGGACUACCCGCUGAACUUAAGCAUAUCAAUAAGCGGAGGA